AAGAGCAUGAAGGAUUGAAAUGUACAUUCUGUGGUAUUAGGCAUUGCUGAAUUCUGCACUGUAUCAUCAACAUCAGGGGAAAAUAAGAAAAAGACAGGUGCUGGAUUUAGUUAACUUGACUUAUUGCCAUAGCCUCCUUGCUGAUCUCCCCAUCUCACUCCACCUUCUAAGCCAUCAUGCACACUGCAGCCAGGAGAAUCCUCUGAAACAUCACUUUCAUUAUGCUGUACGCCUUCCCAGGCACCUUCUCACAACUGUCUACAAGAUAAAGGGCAAACUCAUUUGCUUAGUGUGUGUGCAUACGUGCAUGCGUGUCUGUAGGGGGAGUAAGACCACAGAGCUUUUUAAAUUCUCUGAAGUUUUACUGAUAAAGCACUCACAUUAUUGUACUUUAACUAUUGUAGGCUAUAGAUGCAUUCCGUAUACUGCAUAUGAGUAAGAGCUAUGAUUCAUAAGUUUUAGGUAUAAUUUAAAAUAAGCAUAUCUAUUAUUAUCCCUCAAAUUAUUUUUCUUUAUAAAUAAUAGUGAUAAAAUUCUACAUGGCCUUUGCACAUAAACCAUCCAACGUAAUCUGAGCAAGCCUUAAAGUAGGCUUGGUUUUAGGGUCAUGUUCUUGUUCCCAGUUAGGCCAGCCAAUGUUGGGCAUCAACCCUGGGUGUCAUUGCUCACUAUGGUGUUCCAGCAUCUCAGGGAAGCCUGAGCAAUGUUUGUUGAAGGGCAGCUCCCCACCAUACCAUCUCUCCUCUUAGGCCAGCUUCCCAAUGGGUGUCUGCAGGCAUUCCACUCACUCCUAUAUCCUCUGUUUCAAAGACCUUCUCCUUUCCUCUCUUCCAAUCUUACACAUCCACAAAGCCCCAA
rnacentral:lncRNA from 10 species